rnacentral:rRNA from 1 species
CGGGGGGGCAAGCGUUGUUCGGAAUUACUGGGCGUAAAGGGCGCGUAGGCGGCUUGUUAAGUCGGGUGUGAAAACUCUGGGCUCAACCCAGAGCCUGCAUUCGAAACUGAUGAGCUAGAGUUCUGGAGGGGAAAGCGGAAUUCCUGGUGUAGCAGUGAAAUGCGUAGAUAUCAGGAGGAACACCGGUGGCGAAGGCGGCUUUCUGGACAGAAACUGACGCUGAUGCGCGAAAGCUAGGGGAGCAAACAGGAUUAGAUACCCUGGUAGUCCUAGCCCUAAACGAUGGAUACUUGCUGUGAGGGGGAUUGAAUCCCUUCGUGGCGAAGCUAACGCAUUAAGUAUCCCGCCUGGGGAGUACGGUCGCAAGGCUG